rnacentral:rRNA from 1 species
UACAGAGGGUGCAAGCGUUAAUCGGAAUUACUGGGCGUAAAGCGUGCGUAGGUGGAAAUUUAAGUCGAUUGUGAAAUCCCCGGGCUCAACCUGGGAACUGCAGUCGAGACUGGAUAUCUAGAGUAUAGUAGAGGAAAGUAGAAUUCCCGGUGUAGCGGUGAAAUGCGUAGAUAUCGGGAGGAAUACCAGUGGCGAAGGCGGCUUUCUGGACUAAUACUGACACUGAGGUACGAAAGCGUGGGGAGCAAACAGG